rnacentral:misc_RNA from 1 species
CCAAUAGCAUAUCCCAUUGGGAAGGUAAACACAAACAAAGAGUUGACUUACAGAAACUCAUUUUCAGCACGGCGGUAUCUCUAAUUAUGUGAUAAAGUUUUAGUUAUUUUGAAGUGAAAUUGCAGAAAAAAGGCCUAAGUCCUAUACAAACACAUGUAUUUGCUUAUAUACAGGAAAUAUUUUAUUAGUUGAUAUGAAUUCAUUGAAUUAAAAAUUGGCUGUAUACUUGGGGAAAUGAAACUCCUUUUGAUGCUUAAUUUAUAACAUUACACUAUAUGCUUUACUAAAUGCAAUUGGUUGCUAACUUGAGCUGAAUUUGAAUCAAAAUGAUUGAUCCUAUCCAAAAAGAUAUGUAGCAUAGUAAAUAUACCUUUUGCUUGAAAUAACCUCUGCUAGCUUGUAGUUUUGUUUAGUAAGUAUCUGUCGGUCAAUGAUAUGCCCUACAAUUAUUGUAUUCUUACAUGCAACAUUGCUUUACUUGACUAUUUGUAGCUAAAGCUUGUUAAAAACCCCUAAUUUAGCAUCUGUUUUCCUUUUGAAUACCUAGAGUUUAUUCCUUCUCUGAACUAUGAGAUUCUGGCUUUAUUUUGUUGAUGAUAUUUUUGAGGUUUUAAGGAUACGUAUAACCCUUCCUGUACUAAAACUUUCUUUUUCUUUAUUUGAUUGCAGUUAUGUGACAGUCUUUUUCUUUUCACUAUCAUUGUCACCACAUUUGCAAAAUGAGUUGUUGGAAAUAAAGAUACAGUUUUUAAUUUUAUAUUCUGCCAGCUAAAAAAAUAAAAAUAAAUAUAAUGUCAUUCUGAACUAUGCUCCUAAAAAAUAAAUUGGCUGAUUUCAUGUUUUGUGGUGUUAGUAGUCAGUUUUUAUCAAUCUUUGCUACUUAACUCUACGAAAUGUGUUGUUACAGAUUCUGGACUGGGUACUGGGG